rnacentral:rRNA from 1 species
UGGGGAAUUUUGGACAAUGGACGCAAGUCUGAUCCAGCCAUUCCGCGUGCAGGAUGAAGGCCCUCGGGUUGUAAACUGCUUUUGUACGGAACGAAAAGGUCUCUCUUAAUACGGGGGGCUCAUGACGGUACCGUAAGAAUAAGCACCGGCUAACUACGUGCCAGCAGCCGCGGUAAUACGUAGGGUGCAAGCGUUAAUCGGAAUUACUGGGCGUAAAGCGUGCGCAGGCGGUUAUGUAAGACAGAGGUGAAAUCCCCGGGCUCAACCUGGGAACUGCCUUUGUGACUGCAUAGCUAGAGUACGGUAGAGGGGGAUGGAAUUCCGCGUGUAGCAGUGAAAUGCGUAGAUAUGCGGAGGAACACCGAUGGCGAAGGCAAUCCCCUGGACCUGUACUGACGCUCAUGCACGAAAGCGUGGGGAGCAAACAGGAUUAGAUACCCUGGUAGUCCACGCCCUAAACG